rnacentral:rRNA from 1 species
UACAGAGGUCUCAAGCGUUGUUCGGAUUCAUUGGGCGUAAAGGGUGCGUAGGCGGUGCCGUAAGUCAGGUGUGAAAUCCCGGGGCUCAACCCCGGAACUGCACUUGAUACUGCGGUGCUCGAGGACUGGAGAGGAGAUUGGAAUUCAUGGUGUAGCAGUGAAAUGCGUAGAUAUCAUGAGGAAGACCAGUGGCGAAGGCGGAUCUCUGGACAGUUCCUGACGCUGAGGCACGAAGGCCAGGGGAGCAAACGGG